GCUCCCUGGCAAAAGAUAAAGGGACAACUGGUUGGUGGUGGUGUUCUUGUAUCAGUCAGGGGAAGAGCAGACGGCAGCCUUUUGUUCUUCCUAGCUUGAUAGCUGGCUUGGUGACCAAAGAUGUUUUAUGCCUAGGACAUAAAA